UAUUCAGUACACAACUUUUGUAUCAAAGGAACAAAUCACACGUUUCAUAUCGUAUUAUACUUAGUAAUGCUGGUUUUCACUGGAUUACUUUCUGUAAGUUAUUUUAUAUUCACAAAGUAUGUAACAAUUUCUCUCAAAUUAUUUGACAUGCCAAUAAUAUCCCUGCAGUAGAAAAUUAGAAAUAAGCACUUCAGUACUUUUGGUUUUAACGACCAGAUAGGUAGAUUAAUUUAUACCUGCAACAUAAUAAUUGCUUAUUGACGAAUUCGAUUAUGGAAACGGAAAAUAAUUCAGAAAGUAACACUAAGAGCUUAUCCAGUGGUGGUACCGUUGAAAAGCGCCCAGAUCACAAGGAACCCGAUGGAACAAAUGGAGGAGCAGCAGAACAAUUAUUACAGUACCAGACAAUACUCACUGAAAUUAGAAGGUACAAUUUAACAAUAUGUAUCAUUGAAAAAUUGUUAAAAAUAAAUGCGCCAUAAACGUG